rnacentral:rRNA from 1 species
CCCUUAGAUGUUCUGGGCCGCACGCGUGCUACACUGAGUGGAUCAGCGGGUCAGGUUGCGCGAAAGUGUUUCCUGAUCUUGAAAUCCGCUCGUGAUGGGGAUUGACGGUUGCAAUUUUCCGUCAUGAACUAGGAAUACCUUGUAAGCGCGGGUCAUCAUCCCGCGCUGAAUACGUCCCUGCCCUUUGUACACACCGCCCGUCGCUCCUACCGAUUGAGUGGUCCGGUGAGGCUUUGGGAUCUGAGCGGAAAGAGCGUUUCGCUGUUUCUGCUCGGAAAACUCAGUCGAACCUUAUCAUUUAGAGGAAGGAGAAGUCGUAACA